AUAUCAUUAAGCGGAGGAAAAGAAACUAACGAGGAUUCCCCUAGUAACGGCGAGUGAACGGGGAAAAGCUCAAAAUGAAAAUCAGUGCCACUAGGUUCUGAAUUGUAGUCUCAAAAAGUGUUGCCAGUGGAGGCGCAGGGGAAAGUCUCUUGGAAAAGAGCAUCAGAGAGGGUGAGAAUCCCGUCUUUACCCUGCAGACCUCCACGUACGGCACAUUUUUAACGAGUCUGUUCCUUGGGAUUGGAGCGCUAAUUGGGUGGUAAAUUUCAUCUAAAGCUAAAUAUUUGUGGGAGACCGAUAGCGCACAAGUA
rnacentral:rRNA from 1 species